GUCUAUGGCCAUGCCACCCUGAACGUGCCUGAUCUUAUCUGAUCUCAGAAGCUAAGCAGGGUCGGGCCUGGUUAGUACUUGGAUGGGAGACCACCUAGGAAGACCAGGUGCUGUAGGCA
rnacentral:rRNA from 1 species